rnacentral:lncRNA from 1 species
GCAAAAGUAGUCUUCUCACAUUGAGGCGUUGCAUAACCUCUCUGAGCAGUGGGGGCAAACAUGAAAUGCCCAAGAUGUGUGUUCAUAUAAGAUAUAGCUGAAUAUGCUGUAGUUAUUGCACAUAUAAUAUAAGGCUCUCAGUCUUUACGCCCUUAAAUAUCAUUAUUUCUUGCAGUUGAUGCAGAAUAUUGAGAAUCAAAUGACUUCUAAAUGCUAUCUAUAAUGAUCUAUUUUUCUGUGUAGACUACCAGUGAGCCUGAAUAAUGUACGCUUUGGGAAGUCCCAGCAGGAGGUGAAAUUCAACUCCACCUCACAACUGUCUCGCAUGAAGUCACUUGAUUUUGAAUAUGACCACAAAAGCUGUGAGCCCAAAACUGUUGCCUCUGUUUCCGAGGCGACACAGUGUCCUGCAGCAGAGUUGAUCACCAUCACUGGGAAGAUCAAAGAAGAAACUGAGAGAAGUCUUAAAAAUGUUCAGGGAAAGCAGAUGAUGAUGAUAAAAUACCUUCUGGCUGACGACAGUGCCUUCAUCACUAUCACUGUGUGGGAGGGGGGGGGGGGGCGGGGGGACGGGUCAUUAGCCCAGGAUACUGGUACACCUUCUCCCAUGUCAAAGUGAAAAAGUUUCGCCAAAACCAAAACGAGCUAACAUUCACACCACACACAAAAGUGACCGAGGUCCCGGCCCAAGGCAACGUGGUAGACACUUGCUCCAGUCAACACAGCAGGAAGUUUAAGGUGCUAGGCACUCUUGUGCAGAACAACCACUUUUGCAUUUGUCGUGCUGAGCUGCCUUUGAUAGACCCAGAUUGCACUUCUGUGCAAUGUUCUGCCUGCAAGGUCAGAGUGUCGGCACAGGCAGUCAAAUGCGUCACUAAAGCACGCAUCACUGUGCAAACAGCUAGUGGACCUAGACCGUUUCCUGUUCCUAAAUCCUGCAUUAAACCUCUGUUGGGCCUGGAGAGAGAGGGGUUCUGUGACAAGGAGGAGGCUGAGGAGAAGCUUCUGCAGAUGAAAUGGGUGAAGGUGGUGUUUCAGAACGAGAAGGUAGUUGAAAUUAAGAAGGCCACUGAGGAUGGCGAUCAAGACUGAGGCUCCACGGAUGUUUUAAAGGCAGGGUAGGCGAUGCUGGAGAGACAGCAAGAGUAAGACGGAUUUUUUUGAAAGAAAAUUCUGUAGAUCUGAUACGUUGUUUUAAAUAGGGGAGAGGGAGGUCUCUGGGAGGUCAGUUUUUGAUUCCUGCAACAAACUUGAAGUGGCUUAUAUGACAUAUGUCAAGCUUGGGACUGAUAAGGUUGUUAUGGAUAAGAGUGAGACUUGACCGGUAUAAUUAUGUCACAUGAGACUUGGUAAAUGCCAAGCUCACUGAAAACAACAGAAGCUGAAUUGAAAUUUCCUUGUGGCAGUACGCUUCUUUUAGUUGUAGUGGUUGUGAUAUCAAAUUAUAAGUGUCAUGUACAGUACUGUGCAAAAGUUUUAGGCAGGUGUGAAAAAAUGCUGUAAAUCAUCGAGUCUGUCUGGGAUUACAUGAAGAUUGGUGCAUACAAUUAUCUGAGGUAAAUAGCUGUGACACCACAACUUUUGCACAGUACUGUAUUUUAAUUGACCAAACGGCAUUUGCAAUAGCCGUAAAAACCAAAACACUUGAGACUCUAGUAGAGGCCAAAAAGAAUAAAUAAGGACAUUCUGAGGGCUUUGACCA